rnacentral:rRNA from 1 species
AGCGAACGCUGGCGGCAGGCUUAACACAUGCAAGUCGAGCGCCCCGCAAGGGGAGCGGCAGACGGGUGAGUAACACGUGGGAACGUACCUUUUGGUUCGGAACAACCCAGGGAAACUUGGGCUAAUACCGGAUACGCCCUUACGGGGAAAGAUUUAUCGCCAAAAGAUCGGCCCGCGUCUGAUUAGCUAGUUGGUGGGGUAAUGGCCCACCAAGGCUACGAUCAGUAGCUGGUCUGAGAGGAUGAUCAGCCACAUUGGGACUGAGACACGGCCCAAACUCCGACGGGAGGCAGCAGUGGGGAAUAUUGGACAAUAGGGGCAACCCUGCUCCAGCCAUGCCGCGUGAGUGAUGAAGGCCUUAGGGUUGUAAAGCUCUUUUAGCGGGGAAGAUAAUGACGGUACCCGCAGAAAAAGCCCCGGCUAACUUCGUGCCAGCCGCCGCAGUUAAUAC